UUGGAACUCUGCCAUGCAGGCCGUGUCUUUCUUACGGUGGAGUCAUGAACACUGACCUUAACUGAGCAAAAUACAUCAACAGAAUCACAAAAUUGGGCGCCGGGCUCUCACCCACACCCUCAUUAGCCUUAAAAGGCAGCAGCUGUUUCCUGACACCCCAAGGACGAAAAGGUUGACUUGGUGCUCCAUGCAUGCCUCAUAGCAGUGAUGCACAUCUAGUAUGCGCAUUUACCGAGAAUGCGGCCACACGGCAUGGAUCGCAGAGCGCUUUUUCUGCAUGUAGAGAGAAGCGGCUUGGAAUAAAA